UACGAAGGGGGCUAGCGUUGCUCGGAAUCACUGGGCUUAAAGGGCGCGUAGGCGGUCUGACAAGUCUGGGGUGAAAUGCCGCGGCUCAACCGUGGAACUGCCUUAGAUACUGUCGGCCUCGAGGAAGGUAGGGGCAUGCGGAACUGUAGGUGGAGCGGUGAAAUGCGUUGAUAUCUACAGGAACUCCGGUGGCGAAAGCGGCGUGCUGGACCUUUUCUGACGCUGAGGCGCGAAAGCUAGGGGAGCAAACGGG
rnacentral:rRNA from 1 species